rnacentral:rRNA from 1 species
UAGGGAAUCUUCGGCAAUGGACGAAAGUCUGACCGAGCAACGCCGCGUGAGUGAAGAAGGAUUUCGGAUCGUAAAACUCUGUUGUUAGAGAAGAACAAGGACGUUAGUAACUGAACGUCCCCUGACGGUAUCUAACCAGAAAGCCACGGCUAACUACGUGCCAGCAGCCGCGGUAAUACGUAGGUGGCAAGCGUUGUCCGGAUUUAUUGGGCGUAAAGCGAGCGCAGGCGGUUUCUUAAGUCUGAUGUGAAAGCCCCCGGCUCAACCGGGGAGGGUCAUUGGAAACUGGGAGACUUGAGUGCAGAAGAGGAGAGUGGAAUUCCAUGUGUAGCGUUGAAAUGCAUAGAUAUAUGGAGGAACACCAGUGGCGAAGGCGGCUCUCUGGUCUGUAACUGACGCUGAGGCUCGAAAGCGUGGGGAGCAAACAGG